rnacentral:rRNA from 1 species
GACGAACGCUGGCGGCGUGCUUAACACAUGCAAGUCGAACGGAAAGGCCCUGCUUUUGUGGGGUGCUCGAGUGGCGAACGGGUGAGUAACACGUGAGUAACCUGCCCUUGACUUUGGGAUAACUUCAGGAAACUGGGGCUAAUACCGGAUAGGAGCUCCUGCUGCAUGGUGGGGGUUGGAAAGUUUCGGCGGUUGGGGAUGGACUCGCGGCUUAUCAGCUUGUUUGUGGGGUAGUGGCUUACCAAGGCUUUGACGGGUAGCCGGCCUGUGAGGGUGACCGGCCACAUUGGGACUGAGGUACGGCCCAGACUCCUACGGGAGGCAGCAGUGGGGAAUAUUGCACAAUGGGCGGAAGCCUGAUGCAGCAACGCCGCGUGCGGGAUGACGGCCUUCGGGUUGUAAACCGCUUUCGCCUGUGACGAAGCGUGAGUGACGGUAAUGGGUAAAGAAGCACCGGCUAACUACGUG